GAUGUAGAACUAGCGCUCAGUCCCCUGUGCCAUCUUACAGUCUGGGCACUUGUUUACACACUCCUUUCUCAUGUAAACACACCUGGCUGGCUUCAUGUUCGUCAACUCAGAAGAACCCAUCAUUUUCUUAAUAUAAAACCUGGAUCCAAGAUUCUUUUUCUCAGCUUAGGACCCAAGAACAGGGAAUGGUGCCAACUACUUUUAGGCCAUUGUUCACUGCCUGGAAACAUCUUCUGUAUAUGUCGCUCUGCCACAGCACUUGGUUCAGGGGUUUCUCAGCUAGACUCUGAUGAUGGAAGAGAAAAGAAGAGAAUGUUGUUGACUGGACCCAGUGGAGGCCAUAGGGUCCUGAUCCGUGAUUUGGGAUUGGAGAAAGUGCCUUUGAAGAGGAAAGACUUUUAUCUGGUCAUCCAAUCCUCCUGUGCACCAUGUUUUCACUUAGCAAAUGUUUGUUGAGCUUGUUUCAUGCCAAGCUCAGGGUACUUGCUAGUGACUCAACAGCCAAGGGAAGGCCUUGCUGUAGUGGACAGCAUGUGUGAGUUUGAAGAAAUGCAGAAGAAACUCAAGAACAGUGGGGUAGAAGUGUGGGGAGGAAAGACUGAUGUAACAGAGCAGCAGAGACAAAACCAAUGAAACACUCCGAUUCUUAUAUGAUGAGGAUUCUUACAUAAUGAUCUCCACUCAGUGCUCAAGAACUGGCUAGCCAGGAAUUCCUUACAAUAGAAGGAAUGUAUACAACUAUAGGCAGAACAGACUCAUCUACCAUCUAAUCAGGAUCAGAGCAACCUCGGAAAUGGCAAUAAACAUAGAAAGGAGACCAAAAAAGACAGGAGAAGCUGCCUCUCUCCAUCGGGAAGUUCAGAAAAGGGCAGCCGAGCAAAAAACGAACCUUUCGGCCUUCAUUUGUCAUGUUUGACAGACAAAACCAUAGCCCUACCUCAUCUUAACUGUCAGUGCCAUGGGAACCUGGAUGCCCCCUCUUGCCACUUUGUAGGAAAAGCCACAGCUUCCUUCCUUAGAUGAUAUUAGAGAAGAUAGCACACUGGGACUUUUUCCCCGGAAAGAAUUAAGUCGUCCUGUCCACAUUUCCCAUUACCUCCUAUCUCGCCAGGCACUGCCAGCCUGAGUGGUAGCAGCAGAGGAUCUGGGUGGAGGUGAGUGGCUACCCACAUAGGAGUAAUGUGGAGCUACUAUUCUAAGGAUAGAUAGUGACCCAGAAAGACAUUUGGACUUCUACCUCUGCCAAGUUGUUAUUGGGCAGUGCUAUCCUCUUCUUGUUGGCUUGGUAAGAAAAGAGAGCUACUAAUAUGGGAGACUUCAUCUCACCAUCCUACAUGCCCAAAGUUCAAGAAAGAAGUCAUAAAAUAUAAUCAAUACCCAUGGACACAUACACAACGGGGAUGUAAGCCCUGUUUGGCAGUCACUUUAAAACACCCAUUUAACAAAUAUUUCUGCAAUCAACUAACAAUAAAUCAUAAAAGGAAAAAAUAACAUGAAAAUACUUUGAAAAAAUGGUACAAAAACAGCUAAGCAGAAAUUAAGCCAAUCAAAUAAGUAAUACUAGGUUUUCAAUAGCAGAGUAAAAGUCACUGAAACUUAAGGUUCGGCGGUAAAAAUGUCUCAGUUUGAGUAACAGUCAAGGAAAGCAUUGACAGAAAGCAAGAUUGCAGUUAAGGAAAGCAUCAGCAGAGAACAUAGACUUCAGAUUGAGAUUGUGGAGAACUAGAAGGGAAAGGAGAGGAUAGGAGUAGGGUGAGGAGACCAAGAGUACACACAAGACAUGAACGUAAAAGGCAGGCUAUGAUGGUGGACCUUUCAGUCCGAGAGGAUGGAGAAAGAAUGGGGGAAGAAAAUCAACCAAACCUUUCCCCUCCAAAACUGUAUCAUGAAGCCUAACUCUAUGUAUGAUAAUAAAAAUCCCAGAGUUUCAGUGACCUGUAAGACUCACUUAAAGCACCAACACUGAUAUCAUGAAAGUUCCAGAAGAAGAGAAAAAUGCAGCUGGCACUAAAAGUUAUUUGAAGAAAUAAUGACUGAAUUUCUCAACAGCCAAGGACCUAUAGAUAUUAUAUACUCAAAAACUUUAACUAUGAUGAACUCUGAAAAUUCCAUAGCUGCUUGUCACAAAACACUCUGUAUGGCUUAAAUACACAAAAACCAAACCCCUAAAAACCAAGUCAGUAAGACAAAAGCAACAUCAUAUUGCCAGAGGAGAAGAAUUCAAAUGAUAACAUAUGUCUUGUCAGAAACCACAGAGGCUGUGAAUGACAGUAAUUUUUACCAAUUCAUAAAGGACUGGAAAUGUUACUUGGGAGUUCUAUAUCCAGAGAAAAUACCCUCCUUGAAUGAAGAUGAAAUGAAGAUACUUUCAGAAAAUGAACUCAAAGAAUUAUCAAGAGAGAAAUUUCUCAAAAUACAGCUGUUUCAAAAGGAAGUAAAUGACAAAAUAAAAGGAAUUUUAGGCACAAGGGAAGACAAGUAGAGAAUAGAAAGAAUAGAAAUGUGUGUAAACC